UACGUAGGGUGCAAGCGUUGUCCGGAAUUAUUGGGCGUAAAGGGUGCGUAGGUGGCGCCGUAAGUCGGGUGUGAAAUUUCGGAGCUUAACUCCGAAACUGCAUUCGAUACUGCGGUGCUUGAGGACUGGAGAGGAGACUGGAAUUCAUGGUGUAGCAGUGAAAUGCGUAGAGAUCGUGAGGAAGACCAGUGGCGAAGGCGGGUCUCUGGACAGUUCCUGACACUGAGGCACGAAGGCCAGGGGAGCAAACGGG
rnacentral:rRNA from 1 species